AUUGCAAAACGUUCUAUCGCUGCAGGCUUGUUCUGCAGAGGAAAGUCCGGGCAACACAGAGCAUCCUGCUUCCUAACGGGAAGGCGCCCGCAGCGGGCGACAGCAAGUGCCACAGAGAAUAUACCGCCUUUAAUUUAUUAGAGGUAAGGGUGAAAACGUGAGGUAAGAGCUCACGGCUUUUCCGGGCGACUGGGAUCGCGGUAAACCUCAGGAGUUGAAAAACCAAAUAGGUUCUGAAAGCGGAGCUGCUCGCUUCCGUGUCGAUUCGUCGGCCGUCAGAAUGGGUAGGUUGAUUGAAUCUGUCAGCAAUGGCAGGGCCAGAUUAAUGAUAGAAGUUCCCCUUGGGGAGUACAAAACCCGGCUUACAGAUUUGCUGCUGUA
rnacentral:RNase_P_RNA from 1 species